UGCUGUGCAAUGUGAGAAAAUCCCAGAGCUGAACUGGGCAGACGCAGCACCUUUCAGACUCACCCCGGGUUAAUUAAGUAGGCUAUAAGCCCACUGUUAGCUAAUAACAUUACCAUCACCACAAUACCCCCGUGAAUUUAAUCUCCUACUUCACCGUUACCUGUCAAGCCACUCAACCUGUAUGGAAAUUAACACCUUGGCUGAAAUGUGACACCCACACCCACACGUCAGUUAAAUAAGUAAGUUAAUGGUAGGGGAGUUGCAUAUGAAGUGGUUUGGGGUCCUUCUGUAAGUAAUUUUGGGGUACAAUUUGGUUUUGAUGAAUUGUACAAGCAGCAAUACGGCCAAGCAAUCGGCCCGUUCCAAAUAGGCACAUUUUCAACGGGCACAGCACUAGUGUGUUCAAUUUUAGAUG